rnacentral:rRNA from 1 species
UACAGAGGUCCCGAGCGUUGUUCGGAUUCACUGGGCGUAAAGGGUGCGUAGGUGGCCUAAAAAGUUUUGAUGUGAAAGCUCAGGGCUUAACCCUGAAAUGGCAUUGAAUACUGUUGGGCUGGAGGUUUGGAGGGGGGACUGGAAUUCUUGGUGUAGCAGUGAAAUGCGUAGAUAUCAAGAGGAACACCAGUGGCGAAGGCGAGUCCCUGGACAACACCUGACACUGAGGCACGAAAGCUAGGGGAGCAAACAGG